rnacentral:rRNA from 1 species
UACGUAGGGUGCAAGCGUUGUCCGGAAUUAUUGGGCGUAAAGGGCUCGUAGGCGGUCCAUCGCGUCGGGAGUGAAAAGCUGGGGCUUAACCCCAGUCCUGCUUCCGAUACGGGUGGACUAGAGGUAGGUAGGGGAGAACGGAAUUCCUGGUGUAGCGGUGAAAUGCGCAGAUAUCAGGAGGAACACCGGUGGCGAAGGCGGUUCUCUGGGCCUUACCUGACGCUGGAGGAGCGAAAGCAUGGGGAGCAAACAGG